rnacentral:pre_miRNA from 1 species
UCUUAUGGAUGAGCAAAGAAAGUGGUUUCUUGACACGGAAUCUACUUCUCGUGAAGAUGCUGUGAA